rnacentral:rRNA from 1 species
AGCCAUGCGAGUCGAGAGGUGUAAGACCUCGGCAUACUGCUCAGUAACACGUGGUUAACCUGCCCUAAGGUGGAGAAUACUCCCGGGAAACUGGGGUUAAUGCUCCAUAGUGGAUAUGUCCUGGAAUGGUAUAUCCUCGAAAGAUCCGUCGCCUUAGGAUGGGACUGCGUCCGAUUAGGUUGUUGGCGGGGUAACGGCCCACCAAGCCAUUGAUCGGUACGGGUUGUGGGAGCAAGAUCCCGGAGAUGGAUUCUGAGACAUGAAUCCAGGCCCUACGGGGCGCAGCAGGCGCGCAAACUUUACAAUGCGAGCAAUCGUGAUAAGGAAACCCUGAGUGCCUGUCGAUGCAGGCUGUUCAUAUAUCUAAAUCAUAUGUGAAGAAAGGGCAGGGCAAGACCGGUGCCAGCCGCCGCGGUAAUACCGGCUGCUCGAGUGAUGGCCACUAUUACUGGGUUUAAAGCGUCCGUAGCUUGACUGUUAGGUCCCUUGGGAAAUCUUCGCGCUUAACGUGAAGGCGUCUAAGAGAUACCGGCAGUCUUGGAACUGGGAGAGGUAAACCGUACUUCGGGGGUAGGAGUGAAAUCUUGUAAUCCUCGAGGGACGACCUAUGGCGAAGGCAGUUUACCAGAACAGCUUCGACAGUGAGGGACGAAAGCUGGGGGAGCAAACGGGAUUAGAUACCCCGGUAGUCCCAGCCGUAAACAAUGUGCGUUAGGUGUGUCGGUAACCACGCGUUACUGAUGCGCCGAAGAGAAAUCGUGAAACGCACCACCUGGGAAGUACGGUCG